rnacentral:rRNA from 2 species
ACCUGCAGCCCCACACCACCUCCGAGCUGUGACCUUCUCAUAAGCUAAUCAGGAUUGGGCCAGGUCAGUGCUUGGAUGGGAAACAUUCAAGGAAAACGCAGGGUGCUGCAGGAA